rnacentral:tRNA from 1 species
AAGACAUUAGUAAAAUACGCAAUUACAUCACCUUGUCAAGGUGAAAUCGCAGGUUAGAGCCCUGUAUGCCUU